ACAAGACAUGAUUGACGUCUAGCAACGUAUCAUGUCUACCCGGAAGAUGAGGAAUGUAUUGGACAAAUCCAAACAUACCCUUCAGUGGCAAGUUACUGUGCAAUUCAAUCCCUCAGUCAUACUACAUCCUGAAUAAGUGCAUGAGUAUGGAUCAAUAUCAAACUCAAUCACUUAUUCAUGUCUCUCUCAAUCUUUUAUAUGAUAAUUCAAACAAUGAAACAUUAGAAACUCUUUCUAAUAUUCAUUUUGCUUUGAUCAAAGGCUUCUUGAAUCAUUAUAAGAUUAGAGUAAGUAGGAUGUUACCUUCUCUUACUAGAAAUGACUGAUUCUUUGUUGACCUACUCACAACCUUCGUACAAAAUCCACCAUAUCCAGAAUACCCCGUACACAACGCAAUGUCGUGAAUGAGGGUAAACCAAAACAUAGCUUCAAGUGCACAAGGUACCAUGGUGAUCUCAGGUCUAAGGAUCACUUGCACAACUCCCACUAUGAGAACCAUCUUU
rnacentral:lncRNA from 1 species